AAAGAAGUAGUUUAAUUUGGAAAAAUGGUAUUCUAUCAGGAAUAAGUUGUCGGUUCAAUCCCGACCUUCUUUU
rnacentral:tRNA from 1 species